UACGAAGGGGGCUAGCGUUGCUCGGAAUCACUGGGCGUAAAGGGUGCGUAGGCGGGUUUUUAAGUCAGAGGUGAAAUCCUGGAGCUCAACUCCAGAACUGCCUUUGAUACUGAAAGUCUUGAGUAUGGGAGAGGUGAGUGGAACUGCGAGUGUAGAGGUGAAAUUCGUAGAUAUUCGCAAGAACACCAGUGGCGAAGGCGGCUCACUGGCCCAUUACUGACGCUGAGGCACGAAAGCGUGGGGAGCAAACGGG
rnacentral:rRNA from 1 species